rnacentral:rRNA from 1 species
AAAGAAACCAACAGGGAUUGCCUCAGUAACGGCGAGUGAAGCGGCAAGAGCUCAAAUUUGAAAGCUGGCCCCUUCGGGGUCCGCGUUGUAAUUUGCAGAGGAUGCUUCGGGUGCAGCCCCCGUCUAAGUGCCCUGGAACGGGCCGUCAUAGAGGGUGAGAAUCCCGUCUGGGACGGGGUGUCUGCGUCCGUGUGAAGCUCCUUCGACGAGUCGAGUUGUUUGGGAAUGCAGCUCUAAAUGGGUGGUAAAUUUCAUCUAAAGCUAAAUACUGGCCGGAGACCGAUAGCGCACAAGUAGAGUGAUCGAAAGAUGAAAAGCACUUUGAAAAGAGAGUUAAACAGCACGUGAAAUUGUUGAAAGGGAAGCGUUUGCGACCAGACUCGCCCGCGGGGUUCAGCCGGCAUUCGUGCCGGUGUACUUCCCCGUGGGCGGGCCAGCGUCGGUUUGGGCGGCCGGUCAAAGGCCCUCGGAAUGUAUCACCUCUCGGGGUGUCUUAUAGCCGAGGGUGCAAUGCGGCCUGCCCGGACCGAGGAACGCGCUUCGGCUCGGACGCUGGCGUAAUGGUCGUAAAUGAC